rnacentral:rRNA from 1 species
AACGCUGGCGGCGUGCUUAACACAUGCAAGUCGAACGAGGGAAUUGAAAGCUUGCUUUGAAACCCGAGUGGCAAACGGGUGAGUAACGCGUAGACAACCUGCCUUGAGAUGGGGACAACAGUCCGAAAGGACUGCUAAUACCGAAUGUUGUGGAACUUCCGCAUGGAAGCUUCACCAAAGAUGACCUCUUCCUGAAAGUUAUCGCUCAAAGAUGGGUCUGCGUCUGAUUAGCUAGUUGGUGGGGCAACGGCCUACCAAGGCGACGAUCAGUAGCCGGUCUGAGAGGAUGAACGGCCACAUUGGGACUGAGACACGGCCCAGACUCCUACGGGAGGCAGCAGUGGGGAAUCUUCCGCAAUGGACGAAAGUCUGACGGAGCAACGCCGCGUGAACGAUGACGGCCUUCGGGUUGUAAAGUUCUGUUAUACGGGACGAAUGGCGUAGCGGUCAAUACCCGUUACGAGUGACGGUACCGUAAGAGAAAGCCACGGCUAACUACGUG